rnacentral:rRNA from 1 species
GAUGAACGCUGGCGGCGUGCCUAAUACAUGCAAGUCGAGCGAACAGAUAAGGAGCUUGCUCCUUUGACGUUAGCGGCGGACGGGUGAGUAACACGUGGGUAACCUACCUACAAGACUGGAAUAACUCCGGGAAACCGGGGCUAAUGCCGGAUAACAUUUAGAACCGCAUGGUUCUAAAGUGAAAGAUGGUUUUGCUAUCACUUAUAGAUGGACCCGCGCCGUAUUAGCUAGUUGGUAAGGUAACGGCUUACCAAGGCAACGAUACGUAGCCGACCUGAGAGGGUGAUCGGCCACACUGGAACUGAGACACGGUCCAGACUCCUACGGGAGGCAGCAGUAGGGAAUCUUCCGCAAUGGGCGAAAGCCUGACGGAGCAACGCCGCGUGAGUGAUGAAGGUCUUCGGAUCGUAAAACUCUGUUAUUAGGGAAGAACAAAUGUGUAAGUAACUGUGCACGUCUUGACGGUACCUAAUCAGAAAGCCACGGCUAACUACGUG